CAGUCGCCGCGGUAAUACGUAGGUGGCAAGCGUUGUCCGGAAUUAUUGGGCGUAAAGGGCUCGCAGGCGGUUUCUUAAGUCUGAUGUGAAAGCCCCCGGCUCAACCGGGGAGGGUCAUUGGAAACUGGGAAACUUGAGUGCAGAAGAGGAGAGUGGAAUUCCACGUGUAGCGGUGAAAUGCGUAGAGAUGUGGAGGAACACCAGUGGCGAAGGCGACUCUCUGGUCUGUAACUGACGCUGAGGAGUGAAAGCGUGGGGAGCGAACAGGAUUAGAUACCCCUGUAGUCCCUGUCUCUUAUAC
rnacentral:rRNA from 1 species